UACGGAAGGCAGCAGUGGGGAAUAUUGCACAAUGGGCGCAAGCCUGAUGCAGCCAUGCCGCGUGUAUGAAGAAGGCCUUCGGGUUGUAAAGUACUUUUCAGUCGUGAGGAAGGUGUUAAGGUUAAUAACCUUAGCAAUUGACGUUAGCGACAGAAGAAGCACCGGCUAACUCCGUGCCAGCAGCCGCGGUAAUACGGAGGGUGCGAGCGUUAAUCGGAAUUACUGGGCGUAAAGGGCACGCAGGCGGUUAAUUAAGUUGGAUGUGAAUCCCCGGGCUUAACCUGGGAAUGGCAUUCAAGACUGGUUAGCUAGAGUCUUGUAGAGGGGGUAGAAUUCCAUGUGUAGCGGUGAAAUGCGUAGAGAUGUGGAGGAAUACCGGUGGCGAAGGCGGCCCCUGGACAAAGGACUGACGCUCAUGUGCGAAAGCGUGGGGAGCGAAAC
rnacentral:rRNA from 1 species